rnacentral:lncRNA from 1 species
UCAAUCUUGGAUUUCUUUGGGGUGGACGAAACAAGGGGGUUCUUCCAUGGGUCGCUUACCGAAAGUCUUUUCUCCUAGGAGUUGAGAGUAUUCAGAAAAAUCUCCCUGAGAAGAGGCAAAACCCUCAAAGUGAUCGGACCCUAGGUAUACUUAUUCUGGGGGCAUAGAAGGGGGUUUUGCUUUUGAAUGGAUGCUUUUUCUGGUGGAGGCAGAGGGAUUUCUUGGUUGUUUAGCCAUUGUAGAGAAAGGGUUUAAUCGGAUAUUUUGGAGAAGAGAUAAAGAUGAGAGUGAUUGAAAAGGGUUCUCUACCUUAAGAGGAGGGUUUC